rnacentral:rRNA from 1 species
CCUACGGGGGGCAGCAGUGAGGAAUAUUGGUCAAUGGGCGGGAGCCUGAACCAGCCAAGUCGCGUGAGGGACGACGGUCCUAUGGAUUGUAAACCUCUUUUGUCGGGGAACAAAGGCGCCCACGGGUGGGCGGAUGAGUGUACCCGAAGAAAAAGCAUCGGCUAACUCCGUGCCAGCAGCCGCGGUAAUACGGAGGAUGCGAGCGUUAUCCGGAUUUAUUGGGUUUAAAGGGUGCGUAGGCGGUAUUUUAAGUUAGUGGUAAAACGUCGGGGCUUCACCUUGAUUGGCCAUUAAAACUGGAGUAC